rnacentral:rRNA from 1 species
ACGAACGCUGGCGGCGUGCUUAACACAUGCAAGUCGAACGGUGAAAGCGGAGCUUGCUCCGCUGGAUCAGUGGCGAACGGGUGAGUAACACGUGGGCAACCUGCCCCAGACUUCGGGAUAACUCUUCGAAAGAGGCGCUAAUACCGGAUAUGAACUCUGCAGGCAUCUGCGGAGUUGGAAAGUUUUUCGGUCUGGGAUGGGCCCGCGGCCUAUCAGCUAGUUGGUGAGGUAGUGGCUCACCAAGGCGACGACGGGUAGCCGGCCUGAGAGGGCGACCGGCCACACUGGGACUGAGACACGGCCCAGACUCCUACGGGAGGCAGCAGUGGGGAAUAUUGCGCAAUGGGCGAAAGCCUGACGCAGCAACGCCGCGUGCGGGAUGAAGGCCUUCGGGUUGUAAACCGCUUUCAGCAGGGAAGAAGCGAAAGUGACGGUACCUGCAGAAGAAGCACCGGCUAACUACGUGCCAGCAGCCGCGGUAAUACGUAGGGUGCAAGCGUUGUCCGGAUUUAUUGGGCGUAAAGAGCUCGUAGGCGGUUCAACAAGUCGGUCGUGAAAGUUCAGGGCUUAACCCUGAAAUGUCGAUCGAUACUGUUGUGACUAGGAUAUGGUAGAGGUGAGUGGAAUUCCGAGUGUAGCGGUGAAAUGCGUAGAUAUUCGGAGGAACACCAAUAGCGAAGGCAGCUCACUGGGCCACUAUCGACGCUGAGGAGCGAAAGCUAGGGGAGCAAACAGGAUUAGAUACCCUGGUAGUCCUAGCUGUAAACGAUGGAUACUAGACGUAGGAACUGGAUUGACGGUUUCUGUGUCGUAGCUAACGCGCUAAGUAUCCCGCCUGGGGAGUACGGUCGCAAGACUAAAACUCAAAGGAAUUGACGGGACCCCGCACAAGCGGCGGAGCAUGCGGCUUAAUUCGAUGAUACCCGUAGAACCUUACCUGGACUUGACAUAUAGGGUCAAGCUAUAGAGAUAUAGUGUGCAUAGGGCCCCAAAACAGGUGGUGCAUGGCUGUCGUCAGCUCGUGUCGUGAGAUGUUGGGUUAAGUCCCGCAACGAGCGCAACCCUCGUCGUAUGUUGCCAGCGGAUAAUGCCGGGGACUCAUACGAGACUGCCGGGGUCAACUCGGAGGAAGGUGGGGACGACGUCAAGUCAUCAUGCCCCUUAUGUCUAGGGCUGCACGCAUGCUACAAUGGCCGGUACAGAGGGCUGCGAAACCGCGAGGUGGAGCGAAUCCCAAAAAGCCGGUCUCAGUUCGGAUUGGGGUCUGCAACUCGACCCCAUGAAGUCGGAGUCGCUAGUAAUCGCAGAUCAGCAACGCUGCGGUGAAUACGUUCCCGGGCCUUGUACACACCGCC